CCUACGGGUGGCAGCAGUGAGGAAUAUUGGUCAAUGGACGAGAGUCUGAACCAGCCAAGUAGCGUGAAGGAUGACUGCCCUAUGGGUUGUAAACUUCUUUUAUAUGGGAAUAAAAUGUUCCAAGUGUGGGAUUUUGUAUGUACCAUAUGAAUAAGGAUCGGCUAACUUCGUGCCAGCAGCCGCGGGAAUACGGAGGAUCCGAGCGUUUUCCGGAUUUUUUGGGUUUAAAGGGAGCGUAGGUGGAUUGGUAAGUUAGUGGUGAAAGUUUGCGGCUCAACCGUAAAAUUGCAGUUGAAACUGGCAGUCUUGAGUACAGUAGAGGUGGGCGGAAUGCGUGGUGUAGCGGUGAAAUGCUUAGAUAUCACGAAGAACUCCGAUUGCGAAGGCAGUUCACUGGCCUGCAACUGACACUGAGGCUCGAAAGUGUGGGUAUCAAACAGGAUUAGAUACCCCUGUAGUC
rnacentral:rRNA from 1 species